GGGCAGUGAUGAUAAAAUAGGAAAGUCAUGCACCACUCUGAUAUACAUUGUGAUCGAUAAACUUUCUCUUACCCAUAUUGUUUUCUGAGCCC
rfam:Helianthus annuus linkage group 11, whole genome shotgun sequence.